UACAGAGGGGGGCAAGCGUUGUUCGGAAUUACUGGGCGUAAAGGGCGCGUAGGCGGCCUACUAAGUCAGACGUGAAAUCCCCCGGCUUAACCUGGGAACUGCGUCUGAUACUGGAAGGCUUGAGGAUGGGAGAGGGAUGUAGAAUUCCAGGUGUAGCGGUGAAAUGCGUAGAUAUCUGGAGGAAUACCGGUGGCGAAGGCGGCAUCCUGGACCGACAUUGACGCUGAUGAGCGAAAGCUAGGAGAGCAAACAGG
rnacentral:rRNA from 1 species